GCAAAAAUUUUCUCCCAUUCUGUAGGUUGCAUGGUCACCCUGAUGGUAGUUUCUUUUGCUGUGCAGAAGCUCUUUAGUCUAAUUAGAUCUCAUUUGUCUAUUUUGGCUUUUGUUGCCAUUGCUUUUGGUAUUUUAGUCAUGAAGUUCUUGCCCAUGCCUACGUCCUGAGUGGUAUUGCCUAGGUUUUCUUCUAUGGUUUUUAUGGUUGUAGGUCUAACAUUUAAGUCUUUAAUCCAUCUUGAAAUAAUUUUUGUAUAAGGUGUAAGGAAGGGAUCCAGUUUUAGCUUUCUACAUAUGGCUAGCCAGUUUUCCCAGCACCAUUUAUUAAAUAGGGAAUCCUUUCCCCAUUUCUUGUUUUUCUCAGGUUUGUCAAAGAUCAGAUAGUUGUAGAUGUGUAGUGUUAUUUCUGAGGCCUCUGUUCUGUUCCAUUGGUCUGUAUAUCUGUUUUGGGACCAGUACCACGCUGUUUUUGUUACUGUAGCCUUGUAGUAUAGCUUGAAGUCAGGUAGCAUGAUGCCUCCAGCUUUGUUCUUUUUUCUUAGGAUUGUCUUGGCAAUGCGGGCUCUUUCUUGGUUCCAUAUGAACUUUAAAGUAGUUUUUUCCAAUUCUGUGAAGAAAGUCAUUGGUAGCUUGAUGGGGAUGGCAUUGAAUCUAUAAAUUACUUUGGGCAGUAUAGCCAUUUUCACAAUAUUGAUUCUUCCUAACCAUGAGUAUGGAACGUUCUUCCAUUUGUUUGUGUCCUCUUUUAUUUUGUUGAGCAGUGGUUUGUAGUUCUCCAUGAAGAGGUCCUUCACAUCCCUUGUAAGUUGGAUGCCUAGGAAUUUUAUUCUCUUUGUAGCAAUUAUGAAUGGGAGUUCACUCAUGAGUUGGCUCUCUGUUUCUCUGUUUUUGGUAUAUAGGAAUGCUUGUGAUUUUUGCAUAUUGAUUUUGUAUCCUGAGACUUUGCUGAAGUUGCUUAUCAGCUUAAGGAAAUUUUGGGCUGAGACAAUGGGGUUUUCUAAAUAUACAAUCAUGUCAUCUGCAAACAGGGAUAAUUUGACUUCUUCAUUUCCUAGUUAAAUACCCUUUAUUUCUUUCUCUUGCCUGAUUGCCCUGGCCAGAACUUCCAACACUAUGUUGAAUAGGAGUGGUGAGAGAAGUCAUCCUUGUCUUGCGCUGGUUGUCAAAGGAAAUGCUUCCAGUUUUUGCCCAUUCAGUAUGAUAUUGGCUGUGGGAUUGUCAUAAAUAGCUCUUAUUAUUUUGAGACACAUUCCAUCAAUACCUAGUUUAUUGAGAGUUUUAUCAUGAAAACUGUUGAAUUUUGUUGAAGGCCUUUUCUGCAUCUGUUGAGAUAAUCAUGUGGGUUUUGUCAUUGGUUCUGCUUAUGUGAUGGAUUGUUUAUUGAUUUGCAUAUAUUGAACCAGCCUUGCAUCCCAGGGAUGAAGCCGACUUGAUCAUGGUGGAUAAGCUUUUUGAUGUGCUGCUGGAUUUGGUUUGCCAGUAUUUUAUUGAGGAUUUUUGCAUCGAUGUUCAUCAGGGAUAUUGGUCUAAAAUUCUCUUUUUUGUGUGAGUGUGUCUCUGCCAUGCUUUGGUAUCAGGAUGAUGCUGGCCUCAUAAAAUGAGUUAGGGAGGAUUCUCUCUUUUUCUACUGAUUGGAAUAGUUUCAGAAGGAAUGGUACCAGCAACUUUUUGUACCCCUGGUAGAAUUUGGCUGUGAAUCCGUCAGGACCUGGACUUUUUUUGGUUGGUAUGCUCUUAAUUAUUGCCUCAAUUUCAGAGCCCAUUAUUGGUCUAUUCAGAGAUUCAAUUUCUUCCUGGUUUAGUCUCGUGAGGGUGUAUGUGUCCAGGAAUUUAUCAAUUUCUUCUAGAUUUUCUACUUUAUGUGUGUAGAGGUGUUUAUAGUAUUCUUGGAUGGUAGUUUGUAUUUCUGUGGGAUCAGUGGUGAUAUCCCCUUUAUCAUUUUUUAUUGCAUCUAUUUGAUUCUUCUCUCUUUUCUUCUUUAUUAGCCUUGCUAGCAGUCUAUCAAUUUUGUUAUCUUUUCAAAAAACCAGCUCCUGGAUGCAUUGAUUUUUUGAAGGGUUUUUUGUGUCUCUAUCUCCUUCAGUUCUGCUCUGAUCUUAGUUAUUUCUUGCCUUCUGCUAGCUUUUGAAUUUGCUCUUGCUUCAUUAGUUCUUUUAAUUGUGAUGUUAUGGUGUAGAUUUUAGAUCUUUUCUGCUUUCUCUUGUGGGCAUUUAGUACUAUAAAUUUCCCUCUACACACUGCUUUAAAUGUGUGCCAGAGAUUCUGGUACGUUGUGUCUUUGUUCUCAUUGGUUUCAAAGAACAUCUUUAUUUCUGCCUUCAUUUUGUAAUUUGCCCAGUAGUCAUUCAGGAGCGGGUUGUUCAGUUUCCAUGUAGUUGUGUGGUUUUGAGUGAGUUUCUUAAUCCAGAGGUCUAAUUUGAUUGCACUGUGGUCUGAGAGACAGUUUGUUGUGAUUUCUAUUCUUUUACAUUUGCUGAGGAGUGCUUUACUUCCAAUUAUGUGGUCAAUUUUAGAAUAUAUGCGAUGUGGUGCUGAGAAGAACGUAUAUCUGUUGAUUUGGGGUGGAGAGUUCUGUAGAUGUCUAUUAGUUCUGCUUGGCGCAGAGCUGAGUUCAAGUCCUGGAUAUCCUUGUUAACCUUCCAUCUCAUUGAUCUAAUAUUGACAGUGGGAUGUUUAAGUUUCCCAUUAUUAUUGUGUGGGAGUCUAAGUCUCUUUGUAGGUCUCUAAGGAUUUGCUUUAUGAAUCUGGGUGCUCCUGUAUUGGGUGCAUAUAUAUUUAGGAUAGUUAGCUCUUCUUGUUGAAUUGAUCUCUUUACCAUUAUGUAAUGGCCUUCUUUGUCUCUUUUGAUCUUUGUUGGUUUAAAGUCUGUUUUAUCAGAGACUAGGAUUGCAACCCCUGCUUUUUUUGCUUUCCAUUUGCUUGGUAGAUCUUCCUCCAUCCCUUUAUUUUGAGCCUAUAUGUAUCUCUGCACAUGAGAUGGGUCUCAUGAAUGCAGCAUACUGAUGGGUCUUGACUCUUUAUCCAAUCUGCCAGUCUGUGUCUUUUAAUUGGAGUAUUUAGCCCAUUUACAUUUAAGGUUAAUAUUGUUAUGUGUGAAUUUGAUCCUGUCAUUAUAUUAGCUGGUUAUUUUGCCCAUUAAUUGAUGCAAUUUCUUCAUAGCAUCAAUGGUCUUG
rnacentral:lncRNA from 1 species